AGACAGGAGCAGUCAUUCCCUUGUAGGGACAACUAGAAGAAAUUUUAUGAAUAAGCAUCAGAAGCCAGUGCUAACAGGCCAGCGGUUCAAAACUCGGAAAAGGGAUGAAAAAGAGAAAUUCGAACCCACAGUCUUCAGGGAUACACUUGUCCAGGGGCUUAAUGAGGCUGGUGAUGACCUUGAAGCUGUAGCCAAAUUUCUGGACUCUACAGGCUCAAGAUUAGAUUAUCGUCGCUAUGCAGACACACUCUUCGAUAUCCUGGUGGCUGGCAGUAUGCUUGCCCCUGGAGGAACGCGCAUAGAUGAUGGUGACAAGACCAAGAUGACCAACCACUGUGUGUUUUCAGCAAAUGAAGAUCAUGAAACCAUCCGAAACUAUGCUCAGGUCUUCAAUAAACUCAUCAGGAGAUAUAAGUAUUUGGAGAAGGCAUUUGAAGAUGAAAUGAAAAAGCUUCUCCUCUUCCUUAAAGCCUUUUCCGAAACAGAGCAGACAAAGUUGGCGAUGCUGUCAGGGAUUCUGCUGGGCAAUGGCACCCUGCCCGCCACCAUCCUCACCAGUCUCUUCACCGACAGCUUAGUCAAAGAAGGUAACGAGGCUCCUGUUUUCUCGCCUGUCAGACAACAAAAGAAAAAUAAAGCCACAGAUAGUUAGAAAAAUGCCAGUGGCUCUUUUUGGUGUCCUCUAUUACUCGUUCUUCAUAUAAAAGAAUAUCUGUGUAUGGGUCUAUAUUGCCUUUCAAAUAAUAGAAGGAGUGGACAUGUUAACUGUAGGAAGUUUGAAGGAAAAAAUAUGCACACCUGUACAAAGACAUAGUAAGAAAGACUAAUAGCAAAUUAAAAUCUCGUGGAAGACUUGAUGCCUAGGUCAAAUACCCCGAAAUCGAUCUGGUAAUCUUUUUGCCCUUCGACACAAAAUGGCAACCUUUAACUCUCACCCCUAUUAUAAGAACAAAAACUGUUCCCCUCUCAAGGUCUAGAGAAACUGAUGCUCAGAUAUUCAUUUUGAUUGCACAUUUUAAGAUAUUCAUUGUCUCAGUUUUAGAAAACAGUUUUAAGUCUGCUGCAUUAGAAGGAGUCUUGUUUUAAUUUUAAGGCAUUAAGAGUUGGAUAGGCAUGCAUACCAUGAUUUGGUUAUAGAAUAAAAUAAAAGUGGGCUGUUUACUUGUAGGAGGAUAAUGAUAGUCAAAUUACAAUGCAACACAAAACAGUUAUUUUUCCUUAAAAAUAAAUUAAAAGAGCUUUUGUGAGAACAUCUGUUUCUUCUGAGAACUUAAAGUUUUCCUCCUACGUAUAUGAAGUCCUAGCCUCAUUCAUGCCUGUAGUGAAAGAAAGGAGUUAUAGUUUUCUUGUAGCUAAGAAAAGAAUAGUAAAUUGAGAGUCAAUUGGUCUUAUUCAGAGACUCUCUCUAGUUUUUAGCUUAAAAUCACUCAGGUUUAUGACAAUUCAGACUCUGUAAUUGUUGGAUGUUAUUAGUAUUAUGACAUUUUAAAGUAUUUCCCUGGAGAAAAUUCACAAUACAACACACAUCUUAUUUUUGCUAUUAGCCGUUUUGCACACAGAAAAUCAACAUAGAAUAUAAAUGUUAAUCAUUAAUUAUUUUAAAUUAUUCUAGCCAACAUAACAGAAAAUAAUUGCCUUUCUAGUUUUUUUAAAAACCUAAGUGAUGUCUGUAACUUCCUUUGUAGUAUAUCCAAAAAUUACAUUAUUAGGUGGAUGGAUAUGUGAUAAAGCAAAGACGGCAAAAUAUUAGUUAUAGAAACUAGAUAGUGGGCAUGUGAGUGUUCAUUGUUCAAUUUGUUAAACUUUUCUGUAUGUCUGGAAAUUAUUAUAGUAAAAUGUUUGGGGGGUGGUGAGGAGAAAAAUAACUUUGCUAUGGAAGUAGCAUAGUACCUCUGUUAUAUGGCUUUUCCUUAAACUCUGCCAUCUUUUACAAACUAGAGGUUUAAACCCUUGCUUCCUAAUUGGAAAAGGAUUAAGAAAAUGACUGGGUAUGGUAACUCAUGCCUGUAAUCCUAACACUUUGGGAAGCUGAGGUAAGAAAAUUGCUUGAGGCCAGGAGUUUGAGACCAGUCUGGGAAACAAAGCAAGACUCUCUUCUCUAC
rnacentral:sRNA from 1 species